rnacentral:rRNA from 1 species
AACGAACGCUGGCGGCAGGCUUAACACAUGCAAGUCGAGCGCCCCGCAAGGGGAGCGGCAGACGGGUGAGUAACGCGUGGGAAUCUACCCAUCUCUACGGAAUAACUCAGGGAAACUUGUGCUAAUACCGUAUACGCCCUUCGGGGAAAGGAUUUAUCGGAGAUGGAUGAGCCCGCGUUGGAUUAGCUAGUUGGUGGGGU